AAUGUUAUCACGGGAGACACACGGCGGGUGCUAACGUCCGUCGUGAAGAGGGAAACAACCCAGACCGCCAGCUAAGGUCCCAAAGUCAUGGUUAAGUGGGAAACGAUGUGGGAAGGCACAGACAGCCAGGAUGUUGGCUUAGAAGCAGCCAUCAUUUAAAGAAAGCGUAAUAGCUCACUGGUCGAGUCGGCCUGCGCGGAAGAUGUAACGGGGCUAAACCAUGCACCGAAGCUGCGGCAGCGACACUAUGUGUUGUUGGGUAGGGGAGCGUUCUGUAAGCCUGCGAAGGUGUGCUGUGAGGCAUGCUGGAGGUAUCAGAAGUGCGAAUGCUGACAUAAGUAACGAUAAAGCGGGUGAAAAGCCCGCUCGCCGGAAGACCAAGGGUUCCUGUCCAACGUUAAUCGGGGCAGGGUGAGUCGACCCCUAAGGCGAGGCCGAAAGGCGUAGUCGAUGGGAAACAGGUUAAUAUUCCUGUACUUGGUGUUACUGCGAAGGGGGGACGGAGAAGGCUAUGUUAGCCGGGCGACGGUUGUCCCGGUUUAAGCAUGUAGGCUGGUUGUCCAGGCAAAUCCGGAUAAUCAAGGCUGAGGUGUGAUGACGAGGCACUACGGUGCUGAAGUAACAAAUGCCCUGCUUCCAGGAAAAGCCUCUAAGCAUCAGGUAACAUUAAAUCGUACCCCAAACCGACACAGGUGGUCAGGUAGAGAAUACCAAGGCGCUUGAGAGAACUCGGGUGAAGGAACUAGGCAAAAUGGUGCCGUAACUUCGGGAGAAGGCACGCUGGUGUGUAGGUGAAGUCCCUGCGGAUGGAGCUGAGACCAGUCGAAGAUACCAGCUGGCUGCAACUGUUUAUUAAAAACACAGCACUGUGCAAACACGAAAGUGGACGUAUACGGUGUGACGCCUGCCCGGUGCCGGAAGGUUAAUUGAUGGGGUUAUCCGUAAGGAGAAGCUCUUGAUCGAAGCCCCGGUAAACGGCGGCCGUAACUAUAACGGUCCUAAGGUAGCGAAAUUCCUUGUCGGGUAAGUUCCGACCUGCACGAAUGGCGUAAUGAUGGCCAGGCUGUCUCCACCCGAGACUCAGUGAAAUUGAACUCGCUGUGAAGAUGCAGUGUACCCGCGGCAAGACGGAAAGACCCCGUGAACCUUUACUAUAGCUUGACACUGAACAUUGAGCCUUGAUGUGUAGGAUAGGUGGGAGGCUUUGAAGCGUGGACGCCAGUCUGCGUGGAGCCAACCUUGAAAUACCACCCUUUAAUGUUUGAUGUUCUAACGUUGGCCCCUGACCGGGGUUGCGGACAGUGUCUGGUGGGUAGUUUGACUGGGGCGGUCUCCUCCCAAAGCGUAACGGAGGAGCACGAAGGUUAGCUAAUCCUGGUCGGACAUCAGGAGGUUAGUGCAAUGGCAUAAGCUAGCUUGACUGCGAGCGUGACGGCGCGAGCAGGUGCGAAAGCAGGUCAUAGUGAUCCGGUGGUUCUGAAUGGAAGGGCCAUCGCUCAACGGAUAAAAGGUACUCCGGGGAUAACAGGCUGAUACCGCCCAAGAGUUCAUAUCGACGGCGGUGUUUGGCACCUCGAUGUCGGCUCAUCACAUCCUGGGGCUGAAGUAGGUCCCAAGGGUAUGGCUGUUCGCCAUUUAAAGUGGUACGCGAGCUGGGUUUAGAACGUCGUGAGACAGUUCGGUCCCUAUCUGCCGUGGGCGCUGGAGAAUUGAGGGGGGCUGCUCCUAGUACGAGAGGACCGGAGUGGACGCAUCACUGGUGUUCGGGUUGUCAUGCCAAUGGCACUGCCCGGUAGCUAAAUGCGGAAGAGAUAAGUGCUGAAAGCAUCUAAGCACGAAACUUGCCCCGAGAUGAGUUCU
rnacentral:rRNA from 1 species